rnacentral:rRNA from 1 species
AUUGAACGCUAGCGGGAUGCUUUACACAUGCAAGUCGAACGAGUGGCGGACGUGUGUGUUAUAUAUCGGAACGUGCCCAGUAGCGGGGGAUAACUACGCAAAAGAGUGGCUAAUACCGCAUUCUAUUGGAGAGGCCGAUAUCGGAUUAGCUAGUUGGUGGGGUAAAGGCUCACCAAGGCAACGAUCCGUAGCUGGUUUGAGAGGACGAACAGCCACACUGGGACUGAGACACGGCCCAGACUCCUACGGGAGGCAGCAGUGGGGAAUUUUGGACAAUGGGGGAAACCCUGAUCCAGCCAUGCCGCGUGUAUGAGAAGGCCUUAGGGUUGUAAAGUACUUUUGGCAGAGAAGCGGUAUCGGCAGAAUAAGCACCGGCUAACUACGUGCCAGCAGCCGCGGUAAUAC